GAAACUCCUCCUCUUUAAAAAAAUCAAAAUCGAAACUCCUCUUAACCAGACAUCAAAAUCAAAGUCGAAACUCUUUCUCUUCUCUUCUCGAAAUCCCGAAAGCCAAACCCCCAAAUCCCAUUCAUCUGAGAAGCUCAGAAUCCCUAAAUUUCUCAUCACUCUCAGUUGAUAAAUCUCAAAGGACUCACAAAAUUCUUUAUCGGUUGGUUUCAUCCCUAAAUUCUUUAUCUUUUAAAUCCUCCUACUUUUGUGUCGAUAUUCCAGACUUACGAAGGCGCGGCGGGGUUUGCAGCGAUUGACUGUCAAAAGUUUUUCUGCGAUUCACUAAGUAAUGCCAAGGCUACCAGUUGCCAAAGUUUUCUAAUAAACAAUGAUGUAAGGUUAUCAUUCUUUCCUACUCCGUCAACAACUCUCUAUAUUCAUUUAGCUUUCAAGCAGUUUUGGCUUCAUAAGUCAGUGAAUAGGGUGGUCUAGUGCUAGCAGUUUUUGGUUCGAUGUUGUUGCAUCAUUUUGUUGCUUGCAGCGUUUGUUGAGGUAGCUCUUGUUUUUGUUUAGAUUUGCUGCAGCUGUCUUCUUGUUUUUGUUUUGAAGCAGGGUGAUUCAGUGUUUUAAUAGGCAUUGGUGGAAGCAAGGAAGGAGAGGUAUUGGCGGUUGUGUUUGUGGCAAAGGGCUGUGUCAGAGGUUUAAAUGGUUAGUGUUUGGUUUUUGAGCCUUUGGUGGUUCAGAUGAAGAGUGAGUUUGGGUCAUUUGAGUAUCUAAGGUGUUGUGUGCGGUUUGAUCCUGUUCAAACCAUUUGUUUUUGCCAUUGUGUAGCUGGUAGCAAAUAUGCCAUUGGGAGGUUCAGGAGGGUGGUAAGGAUUCAGAAAAAGGUGCAUGUCUGUCUAGCGUGGAUUCAAAAUAGCAUCUAGUGUUGGUCGGUCUCAAAAUGGCUCGGGAUGGUAUUGUUUUGUCGGCAGUUUUGUUGUGUUAUGAAGGCAUUUUUGGUAUGAUAUUGCUCAAGGAAAAAAGGUGUUUAUGCUUCUUAAAUUGGGCUUGUCAGGUUUGUCUUUGUUCCAUUGACAUUGUGGCGACAUUCUGUUAGUGAUGUCAGUUAUUCCUAUAGGUGGUUUAAGUGAUAGAGGUAGUGAGAACUAAAACAAGAUAAAAUUAGGCAUUCUUCAUUGUUUUCUAUUAUUCCCUUGUCUUAUAUAGUACUUACUUCCUGAUAUAUAGGUUGAGCAUCCUGUACUAAAUGGAUAGAUGAAAUAAAUUUGCCAUUAACACAAGUUGCAAUCAGGAUGAGUAUCUUAUGAAGCAUGAAUACAAAUACGAACAUUAGACAUAAACACAAGCAGGAUACCAAUAAUAAUUUGAGAAAAUCACACAAUUCAGUUUAAUUAUGUGUUAGUGUCCGACAUCGACACAUGUCCAACAACAGGACACGUCUAAUUCAAAGGAUGUCUGUGAUUCAUAGUGGGUGCCCCUCUAAACAUUUUAAUUUUAUUCUAGAAGAAUAAUAAUGAUAUUGACAAAGAAUUUCAAGAUUUGGAAGCACAAGAUGAAGAGAUAUAAAUGUUGGUGGUCACUUUGAAGAUGUUAUAUUGAUUGUGACCAAUGAUAAUUGUCAUUAUAUCCAAGAGUAUUCAUUAGAAUUUUUUUUUUUUUUUUUUUUUUUUUUAUGUAUGUAAUUUUGAAGAUGUUAUUUUCAUUCUGAUCAAUGAUGAUUGACAUCUAUUUGAUUUUAUGUAUAUUUUUAAUUUAGUAUCUAGUUACAAGUUUAUAUGAAUAAAGUUUUUACUUAUGUUA